rnacentral:rRNA from 1 species
GACGAACGCUGGCGGCGUGCUUAACACAUGCCAGUCGAACGGAAAGGCCCCAGCUUGCUGGGGUACUCGAGUGGCGAACGGGUGAGUAACACGUGGGUGAUCUGCCCUGCACUCUGGGAUAAGCCUGGGAAACUGGGUCUAAUACCGGAUAGGACCGUGCCUUAGUGUGUGCGGUGGAAAGUUUUUCGGUGCAGGAUGAGCCCGCGGCCUAUCAGCUUGUUGGUGGGGUAAUGGCCUACCAAGGCGGCGACGGGUAGCCGGCCUGAGAGGGUGUACGGCCACAUUGGGACUGAGACACGGCCCAGACUCCUACGGGAGGCAGCAGUGGGGAAUAUUGCACAAUGGGCGCAAGCCUGAUGCAGCGACGCCGCGUGGGGGAUGACGGCCUUCGGGUUGUAAACCCCUUUCGGCAGGGACGAAGCUUUUGUGACGGUACCUGCAUAAGAAGCACCGGCUAACUACGUG